GGCCAGACUCCUACGGGAGGCAGCAGUGGGGAAUAUUGGGCAAUGGGCGCAAGCCUGACCCAGCAACGCCGCGUGAAGGAAGAAGGCUUUCGGGUUGUAAACUUCUUUUGUCAGGGACGAAGCAAGUGACGGUACCUGUCGAAUAAGCCACGGCUAACUACGUGCCAGCAGCCGCGGUAAUACGUAGGUGGCAAGCGUUGUCCGGAUUUACUGGGUGUAAAGGGCGUGUAGCCGGGCUGACAAGUCAGAUGUGAAAUCCGGGGGCUCAACCCCCGAACUGCAUUUGAAACUGUUUUUCUUGAGUACUGGAGAGGCAGACGGAAUUCCUAGUGUAGCGGUGAAAUGCGUAGAUAUUAGGAGGAACACCAGUGGCGAAGGCGGUCUGCUGGACAGCAACUGACGCUGAGGCGCGAAAGCGUGGGGAGCAAACAGGAUUAGAUACCCGAGUA
rnacentral:rRNA from 1 species